rnacentral:rRNA from 1 species
GGUUCAGGAUGAACGCUGGCGGCGUGCCUAAUACAUGCAAGUCGAACGAGAGAGCUUGCUCUCUAGUGGCGAACGGGUGAGUAACACGUAGGUAACCUGCCUUACAGUUUGGGAUACCCUGGCGAAAGCUAGGCUAAUACCGAAUAAUUGGAUUGGAGGCAUCUCCGAUCUCUAAAAGGGGCCUUUAAAGCCUCGCUGAAUGAUGGACCUGCGGCGCAUUAGCUAGUUGGUGAGAUAACAGCCCACCAAGACGAGGAUGCGUAGCCGACCUGAGAGGGUGAACGGGCCACACUGGAACUGAGACACGGUCCAGACUCCUACGGGAGGCAGCAGUAGGGAGUUUUCGGCAAUGGGGGCAACCCUGACCGAGCAACGCCGCGUGAAUGAUGAAGGUCUUCGGAUUGUAAAGUUCUGUUAUAAGGGAAAAAUGAUAUGGUGAGGAAAUGCUCCAUAUUUGAUGGUACCUUAUUAGAAAGCCACGGCUAACUACGUGCCAGCAGCCGC